rnacentral:rRNA from 1 species
UGCGCCUUGCCAGCCCGCUCAGAAACUUAAAUGAAUUGACGGGGGCCCGCACAAGCGGAGGAACAUGUGGUUUAAUUCGAUGAUACGCGAGGAACCUUACCUGGGCUAGAACGCAUUCGGAAUCAGGCCGAAAGGCCUGCGCCAGCGAUGGCCGCUUGCGAGGUGCUGCAUGGUUGUCGUCAGCUCGUGCCGUGAGGUGUCGGGUUAAGUCCCAUAACGAGCGCAACCCCUACUGCUAGUUGCCAGCGGGUCAUGCCGGGGACUCUAGCGGAACUGCCUGCGUAAGCUGCGAGGAAGGUGGGGAUGACGUCAAAUCAGCACGGCCCUUACGUCCAGGGCUACACACGUGUUACAAUGGCCGGUACAGAGGGCAGCCACCCCGCGAGGGGGCGCGAAUCCCGAAAGCCGGUCCCAGUUCGGAUCGGAGUCUGCAACCCGACUCCGUGAAGCUGGAUUCGCUAGUAAUCGCGCAUCAGCCACGGCGCGGUGAAUACGUUCCCGGGCCUU